rnacentral:tRNA from 1 species
AGCGGGGUGGGGAAGCCAGGUCAUCCCGGCGGGCUCAUAACCCGCAGUUCAAUAGUUCAAAUCUAUUCCCCGCUA